GUGGGAAUUGAGAAUUUUGGGGCGGGAGUUCAUGAUUUUGGGGAAAAAAAUUCGAAUUUUAGGGUAAAAUUGAGAAUUUUGGGGCGGGAAUUGAGGAUUUUGAGGCAGAAUUGAGACUUUUGGGGUGGGAGUUCAGGAAUUUUGGGGAGAAAUUGGGUAUUUUGGGGCACAAUUGAGAAUUUUAGGGUAAAAUUGAGAAUUUUGGGGUGGGAGUUCAGGAUUUUGGGGAAAAUUGAGAAUUUUAGGGUAAAACUGAGAAUUUUGGGGCAGGAAUUGAGGAUUUUGGGGUAAAACUGAGAAUUUUGGGGCAGGAAUUGAGGAUUUUGAGUGGAAAUUGAGAAUUUUGGAGAGAAAUUUCAAAUUUUAUGGCGGAAAAUUCGAAUUUUCGUGUGGGAAUUCCCGAUUUGAGAGGCUCAAGUGUCGAAUUUAUGGCCCAAAAAUGACCCGAAAAAACCCCGAAAUUGGGUAAAUUGGGGCCGGGCUGGAAUUGGGGUGAAACCCCCCGAUUUUGGGUCCCCCAGCCCCAUUUUUCCUGCCAGGCCCGGCCGUGCCAUGGAGGAGGAGGAGGAGAAACCCCCCCGGGGGGGGGAGGAGCCGCGAGAGCAGCGGGAGGGACCCGGCCAGGGGCUACUGAAAGCUCUGCAGCGCCUCCUGAGCGGCGCCGGCACCUGGGGACAAGACCCCCCCCACAAGCCCCCCCGGCUGCAGCGCUGGUGCUGGGGAGCCCGGCCCGAGGGCGGCACGGUUUGGGAGCCCGUGGGGGGCCCGGGGGGGGCCCUGGAGCAGCUGCAGCUCAGCAGCGGGGAGGGGUCCCCCGAAGACGAGGAGCUGGAGUUGGUGGCCGAGGUCCGCGUGGCCGAUUUGGGGGGGCUGGCGGCCGCCUCGGGGCUCCUGCGCCGGGAGCGGCCCUGGAGAGCCCCCAAAGGAGGUCAGGGGGUCGGGGGGGGGAUUUGGGGGGAUUUGGGGGGAUUUGGGGGCAUUUUGGGGGGUUUUGGGAGGAUUUUGGGUGCAUUUCCGGGGGUUUUCAGGAGGGUUUGGGUGGAUUUGGGGGUGUUUGGGAUGGAUUUUGGGGGGGUUUGGGAUGGAUUUUGG
rnacentral:lncRNA from 1 species